GGGGGGGGGGGGGGGGGGGGGGGGGGGGGGGGGGGGGGGGGGGGGGGGGCGGGGGGGGGGGGGUGCGCGGGGGGGGGACGGGUGAGUGAGGCGGGAGGAGCCGGCUCGAGGCUUUGGGAGCACUUCCGGGCGGUGGGGCUGAGACAGGAUGGUAGCACCGGGUGGAGGGGGGGGGUUGGAAAGUUUCGGCGGGUGGUGAUGGACUCGCGGCUGAUCAGCUUGUGGGUGGGGGAGUGGGUGACCAAGGCUUUGACGGGUAGCCGGCCUGGGAGGGUGACCGGCCACAUUGGGACUGAGAUACGGACAAGACUCCUACGGGAGGCAGCAGUGGGGAAUCUUGCACAAUGGGCGGAAGCCUGAUGCAGCAACGCCGCGUGCGGGAUGACGGCCUUCGGGUUGUAAACCGCUUUCGCCUGUGACGAAGCGUGAGUGACGGUAAUGGGUAAAGAAGCACCGGCUAACUACGUG
rnacentral:rRNA from 1 species